rnacentral:rRNA from 1 species
GACGGAGGAUGCAAGUGUUAUCCGGAAUCACUGGGCGUAAAGCGUCUGUAGGUGGUUUAAAAAGUCCACUGUUAAAAAUUGAAGCUUAACUUCAAAGAUGCCGUGGAAACUUUUGAACUUGAGUAUGGUAGGGGUAGAGGAAUUUCCAGUGGAGCGGUGAAAUGCGUAGAUAUUGGAAAGACCACCAAUGGCGAAGGCACUCUACUGGGCCAUUACUGACACUGAGAGACGAAAGCUAGGGGAGCAAAUGGG